GAUGAAGAACGUAGCGAAAUGCGAUAAGUAAUGUGAAUUGCAGAAUUCAGUGAAUCAUCGAAUCUUUGAACGCACAUUGCGCCCCUUGGUAUUCCUUGGGGCAUGCCUGUUCGAGCGUCACUACAAACCCUCUCAUACAUAUUAUAUGGUAUUGAUGGAAGUGGACCGUGGUUACUAAUAAUGUAUCUGGAUCACCCCAUUGAAAUGUAUAGGCAGGACAGUAAACCUCUGCAAUGGACUUAGUAACUGUUGUGAAAACAUAGACCAGUCCUUUGCCUGGUUCCAGCCUGGCCUCCAUGGACCUCUAUCCAAGAUGAACUCUGGGUUGACCUCGGAUCAGGUAGGGAUACCCGCUGAACUUAAGCAUAUCAAUAAGCGGAGGA
rnacentral:misc_RNA from 1 species